rnacentral:rRNA from 1 species
GACGAACGCUGGCGGCGUGCUUAACGCAUGCAAGUCGAGCGAGGCCCCUCCUUCGGGAGGGUGUCCUAGCGGCGAACGGGUGAGUAACACGUGGGCAACCUGCCCUCAGCUCUGGGAUAACUCCGGGAAACCGGGGCUAAUACCGGAUACGACCUCCACGGGCAUCUGCGGAGGUGGAAAGUUUUUCGGCUGAGGAUGGGCCCGCGGCCUAUCAGCUAGUUGGUGGGGUAGUGGCCCACCAAGGCGACGACGGGUAGCCGGCCUGAGAGGGCGACCGGCCACACUGGGACUGAGACACGGCCCAGACUCCUACGGGAGGCAGCAGUGGGGAAUAUUGCGCAAUGGGCGAAAGCCUGACGCAGCGACGCCGCGUGAGGGACGAAGGCCUUCGGGUUGUAAACCUCUUUCAGCAGGGACGAAGCGAAAGUGACGGUACCUGCAGAAGAAGCACCGGCCAACUACGUG